rnacentral:tRNA from 1 species
GCCUCGCUGGCGCAAGGGCAGCGCACCGCCCUCGUAAGGCGGCGAUGCCGGUUCGAGUCCGGCGCGGGGCUCCA